UUCAACAUAUGGGUCUUAGAGAAAUUCAAGAGCUAACAGAUACCACACCAGAGGAAUUAACAGAAGACAAGGUGGAGAUAGAUGCUUCUGAACCACUGCCAGACAGUGAGAAAGAUGCAGAACAGUGCCAGAAAACAAACUGACAUUAGACAAUCUGGCAGAACGGUUCUGAAUAUACAAGACUACUCUUGACUUCUUUUACGACAUGGACCCUUCUAUGAUACAGGCAACAAGAUCAACCCCUCCUCUUCCUCCUCAGCCUACUCAACAGGAAGACAAGUAGGAUGCAGACCUUUACAAUGAGCCACUUCAACUUAAUGAAUACAGGUCAAGUCAUGUUACUCAACCCAGACGCCCUAAGGAAAGGGAAGAGUUCAAGAUCAAUAACAAGAAGGGGUUCCGAGUGGCACCAUCACAUAUUCAUUUACUGUCAGCUCAUUAAUACACAAUAUGGUGGCAGAAGAAAACACCGAAAACAAUACCACUACCCCACUCCCUUUAUUAGAAAAAAGUUAAAAUACAAAUUCUAUUACUGUUUACCUAGGACCUAACUUCACACGGCUGACAUUUCUCAAAGAUAGGUCAUAGGAUCCCCAUUCCAGAAAGGGUGCUGUUCCAUACCCGGAAGGAAAGAAUGCUGCACAGAGAGGCCAAGAAGAAUCUAUACAGACAGGCAGGCCUUGCUGGGUUUCCCCACUCAGUAUAUGGCUGUCCAGACUUUGCUGAACCUAAGCAUACCAAUGGGCAGUUUUCUCCUAUAUCUUUAGGUCUUUAUUCUGAAGGCUCCCAUGUCACGUAACACCAAGAUCAAAUAAAAUCAUAUGCC
rnacentral:lncRNA from 1 species